rnacentral:rRNA from 1 species
UACCCGGCGUGACCGCUCCCUUCCUCCUCCUCCUCAGUUGCGUGGUAGAGGCGAGCUCUACGAACCCUCCGGUUGUCGACCGCAGCUAGCAAAUUAGUAUGGUUGUCGGCUCAUGAUGCUUCAUGGUGCUUGAAAUCUCGUAGAGGUGAUCCCGAGGUCCUUCGGGGAGCCCUCGUAAAAAAGACGUGGCCGCCAGUUUUUACCAGGGUCGGCGUGGGGGUGCCUGAGUAAAACGCGACGACAACGUUCCGGGUGACGGUAGAAGAGAGGAAGGAAGAGGACGUAUCCGGGUGGUGUACGUUGUACGUUCUUUUUUGUUUGAGAGAAGAGAGAGGGAGUGAGCGGGGCUCCUUCUCGAGCAAGCGCGGGGGUUGCCCUGAAUCCGUCAGCCGGCGCUGCCCGUCGACCGAUGCCGCCCUCGGCCGGCCGCACUUCGUCCGCCUCCGCUCCGCCGGGCCGCUCCGCGCUUCGUCCGCCUCGAGCGGGCGCGGGCACCGGCCCCGCCUCAAGCGCGGGCGGAGACGCACCGGCCCCGCCGCAGCUUGCGCUGCCCAGACGUUCGUCGGCUUCCACUAAGGCCGCUAGCACCGUCUCCCGUUCACGGGCGGGCCGCCACGCCUGCGCCAGCACGAGAUGUGGUGGUGGGAGGCGCCGUAGGCGUUCUGCAAGCUCCUCACGUUGCGCCACACGCGGCGUUAGUUCCGGGUGCUGCACUUCCAGUAGCUCGCCCUGCACAGGUACCUGAGCCCGAUGGACCUCCUCGACGCCGACGAUGACCCGCCCGCCCUCGACGCGCACGAGAAACCACCGCAGGACGACGAUCCAUCUCUCUUCCUCCUCGUCCCAGUACGGCGGAGGUGGAGGUACCGGCUCGCCCCCUCUCUGUCUACAAAAAUGCUCAGUGGAGUCGAGGGAACGGGUCAACGGGACCACGUACACCGGCCGCCGGUGAGCAAGAGCUGGCUGGUAGACUGCUGAGGACAGAAGAGUGGGUGCGGAGGAUGUCGAUGUCAACAUGCUUGUACCCGCCUGGAUGGCUCGCCGACCUUGACCUACGACGCUCGCACGCACGGGUAGACACCGGUCGCCGCCGCGAAGGUGAAGCUCCGGCCCUUCUUGACCAGUCUUCUUCGUCGCUACCGCUAGCCCUUCAGCAAGGUGCGCCACCUCUGGCCCGUCCCGUACUGACUUAGUCCCCCCUUUUAGGUUGGACGUACCUCCCUCUUUGUACACACGAGAGGUUUCAGGGAUGACCUUAAAUUUUACUCUUAACCACGCGACCGCGACGGUUUACCCGGGGACCACAGUCGCUCUCUUUCCGUCUCUUCUUGGUAGGCGGCCGCUGGUUGUGACAACGGACGACCGAACGCAACGCACGCACCCUUACACGCGUCAUUGAAGUGUCAGUCGUCGCCGGUCGUCUUGCUCUCUCUUUCUCUCUCCUCCCCGUCGAGGUCUUCGUUCGAGGAUAAGAAAAGUAGGCUUCUUUUCUUUUUUCUUAAAGGAGAGGCUCCGAGUCCGCGAAAGGUAGGUAGCACGAAGAGGAGCAGUGUGGCUUGGGCCUCGCCCAGUGACUGUGCGACGGGGGCGGGCCUCGAGUUUGAGGGUAAGGCGAGGGGGGGGGGGAAGGACCGAACGCAGGAUGCGGACCGCGGAGAAGGUCAAGGUGGGGCCACGCGAGGCCAGGGACUGCCCGCCCGGGUGGCCCCCGCGCGGGCAGUAAAGGCGCCACCGGUGACACGCGCCUGCCUUCUUUCCGAGCCGAAGCCGAGGGUAGGACAGGAACCAGCCUGCCGCCGGUGGAGUGGGGCGAGUGGCGCCAAUCAGUUACUGCUCACCCAGGACGACUGGCACCCCGGGCAGCCAGCCACCCUCCCGUUCAAUACACGACGCUACACCGCCACGCCCCGCCCCCGUCCGCUCCACACACACACAGCACACACGCCCCGCCCCCACCCCUAAUAAAAUCAGGCGCCAAAAUAAGGCCGUAAAUUUUCCGGGCCGGUGGUGCGGCACCGGAACCAAGCAGAGGUGCGGGGGGUAUAAAGGGUAAGGAAAGGGACGGGACGAGGGUGGGUGUAGAGGUGGAGGUGGGAGGAGGAGGAGGGAGAGGUAGGUGAGGUGGCCGCGUAGCCCCCACAGAGGCAGAGGCAGGCCGGCAGCACCAAAAGAAAGAAGGGCCCGAUCCUGCGUGCGUGCGCGCUGUACCGGCGGCGUCGACGGCGGCUGCUGCGCCAGCGGCGGCUGUAGUAGACGAGCGACGCGCCCCGGCUGGACCGGCCCACCUGCGGCGGCACCUCGUUCGCGCGCUCCGGCUACCUCCCACUCGACAGGACCGGCCGGCACCGCGCGCCCUUCGCGAGCGCGGCGGCGAGAGGCCGCAGCAGCAGCCGCUGCCGCCGCCCCUUCCGCUCCACGCGGGCCAGGUCGGGCCGCAGCGGCGACCUGAUGUCGCGGCCGAGGCGGAGGGAGGCAAGGCCGCGCAGGUGGUCGCCGCCGCUCCUGCCGCGGAAGACGAGCGGCACCGUGGCGGCGCGCCGGUGGCGCGGCCGCUGAUGCUGCUUCCGCUGCUUCCACCCGAGGUAGGCUGCCGGCGUCAACUGGAAGGUCCGGGGCGGAGGUGCCGGGCGUCCAGUCUCCGUUGCCUUCUUUUACUCCGACGGCCUCCAGGUCGUCGACCACGCCAGCGAGCGGCACCUCUUGCUCUCGGAUGUGCUCCUCUACGCCCUUGACGUCUCCCGAACGAGGCGCGACAGCUUUCUUUUACUGUUCGAACUCCACUUGAAAGAAUAGACAAACGCGAGAAGAAAAAGACAGGGUCUAUCCCACGCACCCGGCGGUUGCUUGCCCAUAGAAAGGCCGCCUUGCCGAAUACUUUUUACGUAGGACAAAACAAGAUCGAGAUCGAAUUUCGUAUUCAGACCUCAAAAUAUAACAAUACCGUACCCUCGAAACAUACGGAGGGUUCAAUCACCAGGUAUACCAAGGGCAACUAGCAAAACAUUCGCGAAAUCAAACAUCCGAUAGGGGCGGAUUUCUACGACAUCCCACAUGUCCCACAACCAAACCACCGAUCACAGAAAAAAAGUAAAGUAACCGGUAAACAAAGACAGAAAACAACUUAGAAAAAGUGCCGAGCUAGUAUACCGAUUACCCUUAAAAUGUAACAAUAAACCACCUCUAAAGAGAUAAAAGAAAGACUUAUUGAAAAAAAACUUUAAAAGACUUAUUGAAAACCAUGAUGACAUGACAUCCGUUACUGGACAAGUCAAUUAUUGAAGUAUAGGUCGGUUGUCAUUGAGUUAUCUCCGUUGGUGUCUAGAAACAAAUUUACGGUACUAAUGGACCGAUCUGUUCACAGGCUAAAGACUAAUUUUACCGCGACAGUAAAGGUAAGUGAGGUUACUAAGAAAAAAAACAUGGUUUGUGCAGGACCAGAAAAGUGACAGAGAAAGAAAGAAACGGAUGUAAGUACUGGUCCCUUACUCUAGGUCACGGAACGACACUCGUUCCGUGGCUACUUGGUACUGGUCAGGAACGAUCAUCUUCACCUACGGAAGAAAACCGAUAAUUACGCGUAGGAUUCACUAUCUAUUACGGACUAGUUUAACAAUCGCUGAUUGAAAUGUCCUGAACUGACAUUCAGUAGAGUUUCAGCCCCGACUAGAACUCCCAAAUUAAGGGGUUUUGUCCCUCAGGGGUUUUGGUUUAGCCCUAAAAAGAAUAAACCUUAUUUUUUUAACAUGGGAACGUUUGUUUUUUACGGAUCGAUUCACUACUGACUUGUCAGUAUCGCUUUACAGGAAUUUUAUUACAAAAAGUCGCCAGGGGAAAACUCUGUCACCGGCGUAAACUAUCGACCUAAGUAUUGCAACCUUCCUGAACACACGCGAAUUCAGCGACAUUGAAUACGUUUUGUAUUGGUUGAUACAGCGUGUACAUCUUCGGUGUUUAAGAUUUUUGCCAUUAGUAAGUUGUCACCGUAACAAAAUCCCACAAACACGUAUGUUGUGUGAUGGUUGUUUUCCUUGAUGAAGAAAAUGCAAAAAUUCUAUGGUCUCGGGUGAAUUGAGGUAAACUAAGUCAAGUUGACAUCAACGUUGGUUGAGACGUUGAACCUAAAUUCCCAUAAAGCCGGUAAAAUUUAUCCUCAACCACGACCAGGGAGAAAUGUUAUUCUCUUUUGACCAUUUUUCUUUUAACUAUCACCUUCUCUCUGAGAGGUCCUCUUUGGAACUAUCAUUGAACAAGAGAACUUAUUCAAUGGGGAAAAGUACGCAUAGCAGUAUUCAAGAGAAUCAUUUUUUUUUGAAAAACCCGGAUAACUACACAUAAAGUACGACUAAUUAAGGAUCUGGAACGCACCACUAGAACCCCCCACAGGUCACUGGUAGAAUAAAAGAGUAGACACCGUACACACCAUCCACACCAGAGGUAGGGAUAGGGAUCAUGUGCUCGGUGCAAACAAACCAUACAACAUCGACCGAACCGGAAAGGGAUCAUGUGCUCGUCUGCGCCAUAAACAUUAUCCUUUUCAUUACCGAUGUGUAAUAGUUUCGUGAGUUACGUAUAUGUAGGUUCCUUCGACACCAAAUAGGAACACGACCAGAACAUCUAAACUUUAGUACCCUGGUUACGAAAAGAUCAUUUUUAAUCAGUUACCAUCAGUUACUUACCGGGGUUAAAGGAAACGAUAAAAUAAGAGUGCAGCGACAAAUACUUAAGAAUACAUGAUAUAUACGUUGUCCACACUUUCUAUGUACAUUUGUACGAAAGAGGGGAAGGUAGGAUUAUUAAAACAGACACGACACUAUAUCCGUGUAGAUUGUUUUUUUUCUUAGAACCGUAACACGUCUAUUCUUAUCUCGUUAGGUUGAGUGCCUUACUUCGGUGUAACUUCCUCGUCUUCCCUUUCGUCGUCGAACUAGUCGUCGUCGUCGUCAGGGGUGUACUGUCGAAGCGCGAUGGUCUAGAGUUGGAAGGACGCGUCCUGCCACGACUACCCAGUCAGGGAACAACUCGCCGAGGUCUGGUGGUGGCGCCGAAGCGAUUGGCUUAUUGUUUCACAUGUAUCUACAUCGUCCGAAUCGAUCUGCACCUCCCCCGUGCCCUGCCCUCACGGUAGAUUUCUUUUCUUACCGUGCCUAAAGUAUUCAAAAAUCUUAAAAAUGUCCCAGUCCACAGUGAUAGGACUCACUGUUCCAGUCCAACAUCGAUUUGUUUUACUGAUUAAAUCGAGUAGACGAUUGACAAAGAAUGGAUGGAUGAUCACGAAGAUACUCCCCACCGUGUCUAGUUUGGCUAAGUGUGACACAUCGGCUAAAUCUACGCAAAUAAGUACAACGAAACAAUGUUCACUACUACCUUUACAACAGACACGUCUAAACCAAUGACAUACUUCAUUUACUAGCGAACAAGAUAGAAAGAAAGACUAAAACCGCUUACCGGAAUGCAUACACCGUACC